GACGAACGCUGGCGGCGUGCUUAACACAUGCAAGUCGAACGGAAAGGCCCUGCUUUUGUGGGGUGCUCGAGUGGCGAGCGGGUGAGUAACACGUGAGUAACCUGCCCUUGACUUUGGGAUAACUUCAGGAAACUGGGGCUAAUACCGGAUAGGAGCUCCUGCUGCAUGGUGGGGGUUGGAAAGUUUCGGCUGUUGGGGAUGGACUCGCGGCUUAUCAGCUUGUUGGUGGGGUAGUGGCUUACCAAGGCUUUGACGGGUAGCCGGCCUGAGAGGGUGACCGGCCACAUUGGGACUGAGAGACGGCCCAGACUCCUACGGGAGGCAGCAGGGGGGAAGAUUGCACAAUGGGCGGAAGCCUGAUGCAGCAACGCCGCGUGCGGGAUGACGGCCUUCGGGUUGUAAACCGCUUUCGCCUGUGACGAAGCGUGAGUGACGGUAAUGGGUAAAGAAGCACCGGCUAACUACGUG
rnacentral:rRNA from 1 species